rnacentral:lncRNA from 1 species
UGCACUUGUUUUCCUUGUUUUAUGGCCAUUUUUGCUGAUCAUCAGCAGAUCCUCCAGAAGGGGCAUAAUCAACCCAUUUCCUGCUUCAAAAGGAAUCAGAGCUUUUCCACUUCAGUGUAUUCACAUAGCUGAAGGGCAUACAAAAGCUGUGCUCUGUGUGGAUUCUACUGAUGAUCUCCUCUUCACUGGAUCAAAAGAUCGUACUUGUAAAGUAUGGAAUUUGGUGACUGUGCAGGAAAUAAUGUCACUGGGGGGUCAUC